rnacentral:rRNA from 1 species
UACGUAGGGGGCUAGCGUUGUCCGGAAUCAUUGGGCGUAAAGCGCGUGUAGGCGGUCCGGUAAGUCCGCUGUGAAAGUCGGGGGCUCAACCCUCGGAUGCCGGUGGAUACUGUCGGGCUAGAGUCCGGAAGAGGCGAGUGGAAUUCCCGGUGUAGCGGUGAAAUGCGCAGAUAUCGGGAGGAACACCAAUGGCGAAGGCAGCUCGCUGGGACGGUACUGACGCUGAGACGCGAAAGCGUGGGGAGCAAACAGG